rnacentral:rRNA from 1 species
GACGAACGCUGGCGGCGUGCCUAAUACAUGCAAGUCGAGCGGACGAUUCGAAAGCUUGCUUUUGAAUCGUUAGCGGCGGACGGGUGAGUAACACGUGGGCAACCUGCCCUGUAGACGGGGAUAACACCGAGAAAUCGGUGCUAAUACCGGAUAACACGAAAUGUCGCAUGACGUUUCGUUGAAAGGCGGCGCAAGCUGCCGCUACAGGAUGGGCCCGCGGCGCAUUAGCUAGUUGGUGAGGUAGCGGCUCACCAAGGCGACGAUGCGUAGCCGACCUGAGAGGGUGAUCGGCCACACUGGGACUGAGACACGGCCCAGACUCCUACGGGAGGCAGCAGUAGGGAAUCUUCCGCAAUGGACGAAAGUCUGACGGAGCAACGCCGCGUGAGCGAAGAAGGCCUUCGGGUCGUAAAGCUCUGUUGUUAGGGAAGAACAAGUAACGUAGUAACUGACGUUACUAUGACGGUACCUAACGAGAAAGCCACGGCUAACUACGUG